rnacentral:rRNA from 1 species
UACGUAGGGCGCGAGCGUUGUCCGGAUUUAUUGGGCGUAAAGAGCGUGUAGGCGGCCGUACAGGUCAGCUGUGAAAACUCGAGGCUCAACCUCGAGACGUCGGUUGAAACCGUACGGCUAGAGUCCGGAAGAGGAGAGUGGAAUUCCCGGUGUAGCGGUGAAAUGCGCAGAUAUCGGGAAGAACACCCGUGGCGAAGGCGGCUCUCUGGGACGGUACUGACGCUGAGACGCGAAAGCGUGGGGAGCGAACAGG